UACAGAGGUCUCAAGCGUUGUUCGGAUUUAUUGGGCGUAAAGGGCGCGUAGGCGGUUCGUUAAGUCCUGUGUGAAAUCCCCCGGCUCAACUGGGGAACUGCACAGGAAACUAGCGGGCUUGAGUUCGGGAGAGGGAAGCGGAAUUCCGGGUGUAGCGGUGAAAUGCGUAGAUAUCCGGAGGAACACCGGUGGCGAAGGCGGCUUCCUGGACCGACACUGACGCUGAGGCGCGAAAGCUAGGGGAGCAAACGGG
rnacentral:rRNA from 1 species